GUCCGCCUUGCUGUAUAAGGUGAGCGGGGCCUUUCUGUUGCUGCCGCCGUUGAAGCCUGUGUGCUCCGCUAAAGGCUCGUAGGAGAUACCUACGGUUCCCAAGUGUUCUUCGGUCUGCCUGAAUCCGUGAACCUGCCAGGCCUCCGGCGCCUUGAGUGCCUGUGGUACACUCAGGAAGGUUUCAAUCUAAAUUUGAGCUCCAGCUUCCCGCUUUCCUGUUGGCCCUGGAUUGAGAAUAGCCUCUCGUUUACCAGCCAUCUGGUCUCUCCAAACCUCUUCUGCCGAGUGGCAUCUCCAAAUAUCUUCCCAGAGAGAAGACAGAAUCUCAGACAAAAUCUAUAAGGCACGCACAAAGUGCUGGAAGAAUUCAGAGGACAGAAAGAACGUUUCUGGCAAUGGACAGAGUCCUGAGGGACCAAAGAAGGCUUUAUGGAAGCAGGACUUGAGGUUCUUCUGGCUGCUCUAAGAAUUAAAUUGUCCUGACACACAUUAACAGGAGAAAUCAAAGUUUAAUAACUAGCAUACAUAGGAGAGACCCAGGAGAACUGAGUAACGUGCCAACAUGGCUGAAAUCCUCACCUUAAACACCAUCUUCAGCUAAAGACAAGAGAGGACGCUGAAGGUGGGGAAAGUCAGUUAUGGAAGUUACCAGGAGACACACUAUGAACACAGGGGUGGGAUCAAGAUGGCAGAGUAGAAAGAACUGAGUUCACCUCCUCCCAUGGACAUAACGAAACUACAACUACAUGUAGAAGAACUAUCUCUGAGACUGACCAGCAGAACAGAUUUUCUACAACUAAAGAUACAAGCAAAAGGCCAAAUCAAGAUAGGAAGAAGAGGCAGAGACAUGGUCUAGUCAGAACCCACAUCCCCCCCUGUGGUGAUGAAGGAUAUCACAACCGCGGAGGCUCCCCGCAAGGAGUGAGGGGCCUGAGCCCCAGUCGGGCUCCCUAGCUCAGGGGACCUGCACUGGGAGGUUGAGCCCUAAUAAUGUCUGGCUUUGAAAACCAGCGGGGCUUACAUCUGGGAGAUCUGAAGAGCUUUGGGAAACCAAGACACUUGAAGAGCUUGUGCACAAACUCACUUGCUCUGUGUCCUGGUUUUAGGGGCAGAAUAUUGGAAAGCACCUGGGUCAUACGGGAAGGAUUGUCACUGGCUAAUUUUAGGGCCAGAGGGGCAGGGAUCUCGGGGAACACUUGUGGGUGCCAUUUUUUUUACUCUCCUUCCACCUAGCAGGUUUGGUGCUGGCAGGUGCCAUUUCUGUCACUCUCAAUCAACCUAGCUAAUGCUGUGUGCUUUGCUAAGCUGCUGGCUCCAGCCGGCCCCUCCUAAGCAGACACAUGAAAAGAUGCUCAACAUCACUAAUCAUCAGGGAGAUGCAAAUCAAAACCACAAUAAGCUAUCACCUCACAUUUGUCAGAAUGGCUAUUAUCAAAAAGACAACAAAAAGCAAGUGUUGGUGAGAAUGUGGAGAAAAGAGAACUCCCAUACUCUGUUGGUGGAAUGUUAACUGGUGCGGCCAGUAUUGAAAAGAGGUUCUAAACUAAAAAUAGAACUGCCAUAAGAGCCAACAAUUCCACUUCUGGGUAUUUAUCUGAAGAAAAUGAAAACACUAAUUUGAAAAGAUAUUUGCACCCUGGUGUUUGUUGCAGCUUUAUUUACAAUAUCCAAGAUAUGGAAGUGACUGAAGAGUCCAUCGAUAGAUGAAUGGAUAAAGAAGAUGUGAUGUAUAUACACAGUGGAAUAUUACUCAGCCAUAAAAAAUCUUGCCAAUUGUGAUAAUGUGGAUAGACCUAGAUGUUAUUAUGCUAAGUGAAAUAAGUCAGACAGAGAAAGACAAAUAUCAUAUCAUAUCACUUGUAUGUGGAAUCUAAAAAAAAAAACAAACCAUAAAUAAGAAAACAAAAUAGAAACAGACUCAGAGAUACAGAGAACAAACUGGCACUUGCCAGAGGGGAGGGUGUUGAGGGGUUAGGGGAAAUUGAUGAAGGGGAUUAAGAGGUACAAGCUUCCAGUUGUAAAAUAAACAAGUCAAGGUGAUGUAAUAUACAGCAUAGGGAAUAUAGUCAAUAAUAUGAAAAUAACUUUGUAUGGUGACAGAUGGCGACUAAUUCAUGGUGAUUAUAGUAUGUGUAAUUGUCGAAUUACUAUGUUGUAUACUUGACACUAAUAUAAUACUGUAUGUCAACUGUACUUCAAUAAAAACUUUUUUUCUGAAUUCUUUUUGCAUUAUACCAUUACAAGCUGUUCAUUGAGACCAAAAAUUCUUUCAAUUUUAGUCUCAAUUCCCAGAUCAUCAGAGAUCUUAUUUAAUUCUUUGUUUAUUUGAUGUAUGGUAGUUGUUGUGGACUCGACUGUGUCCCUCACCCCUAAGUCAUAUUUUGAAUUCCUAACCCCCAGCGUGACUGUAUUUGGAGAUCGGGACUAUAAGGAGGUAAUGAAAAUUAAGUGAGGUCAUGUUGGUGGGGCCUUAACCAGAUAGGAAUGGUGUCCUUAGAAGAAGAGGAAGACUCAGACCCGUCCCCCUCUUCCUCUGCCUUCCCUCUGGGUGUGCAGAGAAGAAAGGUCAUGUGAAGACAGUGAGAGAUCAUCUGCAAGCCAGAAAGAGAGCUCUCACCAGGAACUAAAUUUCCCAGCACUUUGAUCUUGAACUUCUAGCUUCCAGAACUGUGAGAAAAUAAAUUUCUGUUCUUUAAGCCACUCAGUCUGUGAUAUUUUGCUGUGGCAGCUGGAGCAGACUAAUACAAUAAUAAAUACAAAGCUUCAGGAAAAAGAUUUACAGUGAAUUAUUUAACUUACAUCUUUCAUUGCAUCAUCCAGGGGUAAAUGAAUACAGUGACUUAGUGCCAAAUUAAAAACAUUUAGAAAUGUUUCUAAAAUUUUGGCUGAAAUACCAGACUUUUUAACAUAUAGGCACUAGCAUUGUUUGAACAAAAAGUGAAAAUAUAUUUCACUGAUACCAUUUUUCUGAAGCAUUGACAAUAAAGAUAGGUCAUUAUUUCAAAAAUAAUUCCUUCCAACUCCACGAGAUCAACAAAAUUUAAAAUUUCUCACUUUAAAAUAAAUUAUUAAUAGGCUUUUAUAUGAAAUAGUCAAAGUUUCAUAGAAAAUGACUAUUUUACUCUUUUGAUUUAUAACUUUUAAAGUAAGUUGUUUUCUCAGUGGACACAUGUUUUCCAAUAAGUGGGACCAUAAAUCUAGAAUGUAAUGUAUGCUUAUAUAGAUAUUCUUUUUUUUAAUGGCUGUUGAAUAUUUCAUGUUUGGAAAUGCUUGAUUAUGUUUAAGUACAUGCUGGCUAGUGUGAACAUUUUAAGUGUAUUUUCUUAAUAUUUUUAAUCACUUAAUAUUUUGUUAAAUUUAAAAGAUUUUGUUCUUUCAAAUGCAUUAUUGUGUGAAACUGAUUUUUUGAUUGUUUUUCUUGCUGAUAAUUACAGUUUUUUAAUCAAACCAUGAGCUUUGGUAAAAUGUGAUUGCCAUUCUGAUAUAUAUCUAAAUCUUGUAAUGGUCAACUCAGAGCACCAUUUGCAUCCCAGGUUUACAUUCCUACCAUUGAUGAGACGUUCAUAUUUUUGUUAAAAUAAUUAAUUAUUUUGUAUUAAAGAAAUAAAAAGUGUCGUGUGAA